rnacentral:rRNA from 1 species
UACCGCAUAUCGCCCUGGGAAGGGGGAAAGGCGGGGGAUCCGCAAGGACCUCGUCGUUUUCGGAGCCGGCCGAUAUCGGAUUAGCUAGUAGGUGGGGUAAAGGCCUACCUAGGCGACGAUCCGUAGCUGGUCUGAGAGGAUGAUCCGCCACACUGGAACUGAGACACGGUCCAGACUCCUACGGGAGGCAGCAGUGGGGAAUUUUGGACAAUGGGCGCAAGCCUGAUCCAGCCAUGCCGCGUGAGUGAAGAAGGCCUUCGGGUUGUAAAGCUCUUUCGGCCGGGAAGAAAUCGCACAGGUUAAUACCCUGUGUGGAUGACGGUACCGGAAUAAGAAGCACCGGCUAACUACGUG